CCCAAACCCUAUUAGAUAAAACCAUCGAUUUUCAGUAGAUUUUCGUUCGUGCGAAGGUUAUACUGUGAACAUCGGCUUGAAUUGUCGCUCUAUUUCAUCUAGUUCUUGCUGGGUAAAGUUGAUAUAAUGUCAGCUGAAGAAUAUAUUCUUGUCCGUUUUUACCAAGGUGGUACUUUUAUCAAAGAUUAUGUCGCCAAAUACGUUGGUGAGAGUGAGGCAAAAGAGUAUUCAAUAGAUAAAGACCACUUUUCAUUGGUUGAAUUUUUGUAUUAUACAAGGCAACUGGGUAUGUUAUUAUUGGUUUUUUUUAAUGUCUUUAACUCUAGGUCAAAAAAGUUAUACUGGUUAAAAAUGAUGAACAAUUAUAUAAUAUUGUCUGCUACUGUAAAGAGGGGGUCCUGAACAUAUUUGUUAAUCAUGUUAUUGAAGAACCACCUUUGGAGAUGGUCCUUAUUGCUCUUAUUUGUGGGCCCGAGGUGGUUGAAGCCACUAAUAAUGAGUCUAGGGCAACUUUAGAUGGUGGCUUAGGUGAUAUAAAUGCAGAACAACAGUAUGGUAAUGAAAUUGUGGAGGUUGUAGUAGACAAAGUUAUUGAAAACACUAAUGUAGAUGGUGCUGAAAAUUCAGAGCUAGAUUUGUCAGAUUUGCUUAGUAGUGACACUGAUUUAGAUGAUAUACUUGAGGGAGAUGAUCGAGAAUUAGAUGGGGAGUAAAGAGCUAUAAGAACAUAAAAAGAAGAAAUAAUUUGCAGAAAGAAAAGGGGAAACAAAGGCUGAAGAAGAAGAGGAUGUCACCUAUUACAACAGAGGAGGUUGAGCUGGGAGAAGCUAGAGCAGACAAAGGUUUUGAUAAAAUUGAUAGGCCAAGUAAGAAAUAUAAAUAUACUAGUAAAUUAGGGGGGAUGAGGAUUACUAUGAUAGUAGUGACAAAGGAAGUGAUGACAGUCAAGAUGAGCUAGAUAUGCUUGCAGAACCUGGUGUUGACUUACCAGCUAGAAGAAGUAGUAAGAAGCUCAGGUUUGACCCAGAAUGUUGGCUUGCUAUUUUUGAACUUGGUAUGGUCUUUGAAGGUGUUGAAAAAUUUAGGAAGGUUGUUCAAUCCUAUGUUGUUGAGAACAAAGUGCAGCUUACACUUAGGCCUAAUAAAAAAUAUAGAGCUAAAGUUAAGUGCAAAAGUAAGUAUUUGUGCAAAUGGGAGCUAUAUGCAAGUAGAGAUAGAGAUUCUGGAGAUUUCAUAGUGAAGAAAUACCAUCCAUGGCAUAAGUAUACUAAUAAAAAUAAAAAUAAGUUGUGCACUUCUAAAUACAUUACAAGAAAAUUCAAGGAUAUGAUAGUAUCUCAGCCAAACAUUAAACUAUGGGAGAUUCAAAAAUGGGUUAGACAGAAGCUUGGUUUAUAUGUUGGGAGGACUAUGGCAUACAGGGUUGAGGCAAUUGUAACGAAAGAUUUUAUGGGGGACUGGAAGCUGGAAUUUUCCAGAUUGGCUGAUUAUGCUGGUAUGAUUAGGAGGACAAAUCCAGGGAGUUCUUGCUGGAUUAAAACUGACAGGGACAGUGUACCAGGGAAGAACAUGUUUGUUUACUUUUAUGUCUAUUUUGAUUCCCUUAAAAGGGGUUGGUUAGAAGGUUGCAGAAAAAUUAUUGGUUUUGAUGGAUGCUUAUUGAAAGGGUUGUGUAAAGGUAAGUUAUUAGUAGUUGUUGGCAAAAAUGGGAACAAUCAGAUAUUUUUAAUAGCAUGGACAAUUGUGGACCAAGAGACAAAAUACUUGGACAUGGUUCAUUCAACACCUGAGUGCUGACUUGGAGUUAGGAGAUGGUUUCAACUUAACAGUAAUGUCAGACAGUCAAAAGAGCAUAAGAUAUGUGCUAGACAUAUAUGGUUCAACUGGGAAAAGAAAUGGAAAGGUGAAGAAAGAAGAAUACAAUUAUGGAGACGUGCCAAGUCUUUCUUUGUAGUACAGUUCAAGGAUGAGCUUGCAAGAUUGGAAAUGUUGGGGAGAAACAUAUGUGAGGAUGUUCUGGAUUACAACACAGAAGUAUGGCCCCGUAACCCUUCUGAGAGGGUGAUAACACCUGGUACAUAUAGGGUGAUAGCACCUGCCAAGAAUAUGAGGCCUUCCAGCCAAGAUACGGAGGGAGAAAACAAUUAAGUUUCUUUAGAUUUCUUUAUCUAUAUUGUAGUGGUUGUUAAGUCCUUCUGUUGUUGACAUUGUUGGUGUUUUUUAGGAUUGCAACUACAUAUUGUAACUGUAAAUAAUUAAGCUAUGUUUUUUGUGAUUGCAAACUUAA